UGAAGCUUGAGAUUUGUGAAUCUAGAAGCUAUAGCUGCAUACUUAUUUAGUUGUUGGUCUUUAAGAAUUGGUCCUGCCUGGUUAUAGAGUCUUGACUGGUUCAUUGUUUCAGAUUAUAACCUUCUUCAAUGUGGUGGAUUGCUUGAAAGAGCAUUUUAAUGCUAAGCAUGGGAUUUCAAGGAAAGAUGAACCGGAGGUUAAAG